UCCUGAUGAGUCCCCUGGAUGUGUCCGUAUAUCAAGGAAAUCAGCGUUGUGCUAAGUAUUUGCAAUUGCACGGUGCCGUUCCUGCCACGAAAGUCCUCGAAAACAACGAAAUUAACAGGAAUUUGCUGUUUUCUCUUGGAAAUUAUGCAUACCACCAGAAGGAACGCUCAGAUGACGACAUAGCUUCAGCAACCAGCUACGACCGUCCUCGGCAUGCCGCUCCCGCAAAUGUGGGUGCUGCAGACCUACGAGAUACGCAGACCAGGACCAUCCGUGCUGCUCAGCAACCACCUCUGCCUCCGCCAGCGGCACCAGUGGAGUCGCAACUAACGAACGUCGCUUCGGGUGACAUCACAGACGCCUCCGUUCACAUCCACCUCAGCAAGGACGACUUGUGGUCCUUGUGGGAAUCCCUCAUGCAGGAACUCACAUCGGAGGUUUCGGAAGACAGGGAAGGCUCGGAAAUCUCAGAGGAGAGUCAGAGGCAAAAGGUUCGAAAGACCUCUUCUUCAUCGGAGGUGCGUCAGCUGAAGCCCAUCCUAACGAACGUGUACUUACGAACCUCCAACUCGAGGGCACGGGACCUGAUCGCUGGUGAGUCCAUUCUGGAAAGAACUGAAGACAGCGGGGAAAGACGAAGAGCCAAUGAUUCGUCGCGGAAGACCAACGUGUCAAGAGACAACCACAAGAGAUCUUUGUCCAAGGUUUCCGAGGUGGAGAGUGCUGCGAACCACGACUGGGAGGAGAGAAUGACAGAAUCCAGCCAGAUUAGUGGUAUGGACAUAGACCGUCAACAACAAGGCGAAGAUGAACUUUCCGACAGCGUUGGUAGUGAUACAGAACACAGAAGCGCCCUAACUGGCGUCAAGGUCACACGACUUCGCAAAAAGAGAUCAGAAGGGAGGACCUGGGCCAAAGAGGUGGAAGAAAGCGAAACCAGCAGCGGACACAGGCCAGAACAGAGAGGUGCCAAUCCUUAUUUGAAAAGGUACUUCCAGCGACAGGCCAGAGCUGCAGAGAUGAGGAAAUACAUCUCCGACGCUCACGGACACCCCAGAGAUGAAGCCGUGUACAGAAAUUUCCAUGAUAGGAUAGAAGACAAAUAUACCGAUCGCGUGCGGCAACACACUUCACAGCGUGAUGACGAAGCCUAUGAAGAGGAUAUUCGAUAUCUGCAAGAUUCCAGUUACCACAAGCAAAGAAGGAGGGAUUCCAGCUCCGAGCACGAUCCUGGGGAAGUUUUUCUCGAUGAAGACAAAGAAACCGAAAUGGUACCACAGCGCAAGAAGUCCCUGAAAAGCAGAGAAAGAACGACAAAAUACAAUCAAGAGUGUCUCCAUGGCGAAGAAAGAAGCAUCAAGACUGACACUCCCAGCAAAACACGUAGAAAAAGUUCGAAAAUGGCCUCUAAAACACAUCUCGAAAAAGGCGCACACCAUCAUAAGUCGCACAGAAGGCAUUCGCAGGAAGGCCACCAAAAUUUUAAAAACAUAUCCUGCGACUGCAUGAAAGCUCAUGAAAAGACGGAUAGUGGCAAGAGAGAAACAAAGCACAGACAUGCUGAAACGUCUAUAUUAAGCAGUAGUUACAACGAAGAAUCACCAGAAAGGUCAGACUACAGAGAUCAUCAAGUACCAGAGAUGACUCGAAGAACCUCUAGGCAAUUUUUAGAAGUACCUUUAGCUAAAAGUAUCGAUAGUAGUGGCAGCGAAGAAAGGUCAGGAUACUUGGCAGAGGAUCCAGAAGAGCAACAUUUCCAUCGCCACCAUCAUCACCAUCAUUUCCACCACCAUCAUUAUCAUCGGCCAUCGGACGAGAAAGAAUCCAGCAUCUUGGAAAGCAGUUACACCUCAGCACACCAUCGUAAACAUAAAAGACAUUAUCAUAGAAAGCGCUUGCGUUUACGUGAAAAGGAGCGGUAUGCUGAUGUUUCGGAGCGUCAAAUUUUAUCGGAUGGCGAAUAUCACCCGAACGAGGAAAGGAUGUAUUCCAGCACUGAAGACAAACGCUCCAAAAGUGAGAUGUCUGGUUUGCCUGUAAAAUCUCUCGAAGACGUUCCAAUCAAGACGCCAGUUCCUGAAGAGAAUUCUCAAACAGAGAGGGAAAAUGGGAGUUACGAACUAGUUGAAACUGAAAGACGCGAAACGAAUGACAGCUUAGACUUAGCUGAUGAAAGCAAUUUGCAGGAAUCCAAACACCAUGAUGCUGCAAGCAAGCUUCAAGACUCCUCAGAUCAGCAAUAUUAUUACGAGGAAAACAAAGUUUCAGCAAUGGAUUUAGAUGGGAAGGAGGAAAUCGAUAUUAAUGGUGAAGAAUUGAACAUCAGAGAUUUAAGACGUAACUCUCAUCAAUCUAGAAUUGUUAAAGAAGAUAAUAUUUAUUCCAGCAAAGCAUCUCUUCCAAAGGUAUCCAGUUCGAAACGCGAAAAAAAGAAGCCAAGAAAACCACUUCUCAAGUCGACACAAAGCUUGAUAGAAAUUCCAUCCCACAAAUCAAAAUCUGAAAGUCUCAAAGAAAAGAGUAAAUCUGCAAGAAUAGAGAAGAGUACAAAAUUGCCGAAAAUUAAACUCUUUUCCGUAGAAGGAGGCAGUACCGAUCUUUUAUUCGGUGAUCCUCAGCAGCCGUCCAAUGAAGAAGAAGUGAAUAAAACAGGUGAAAGCCGUAGCAGUAAAACUAAAAACUAUUCCCAAGAUGAUUUAGAUGAAAGGACAGAGGAUGUGUUCCAGCAACAUCCAAAUGACGGCACAGCCACUGAGGCUUCAGUAACAGAUCAAGCAAGAAAGGAGGAAUUAUCGAAUGAGAAAAGCUAUCUACACGAAACCAUUUCAAAAGAGAAAGAGCAAAAUGUAAGUGAAGACAAAGUGCAUAACAUAGAAUCAGUGAUUCAGCAUGAAGAAAAUUCAUCCCAUUUUCAAAAUGAACAAGUCUCUAAAGGUGAUGAGACAUGUCACCAGGAGUUAAAUGAAAAUGUGUUUGAUACCAACACUCAUAGAUUAUCAUCUGCUUAUGAAGAAAGCGUCUCUUCAGUAGGUUUGGAAAAUGGCCCAAUUGAGAGUCAGUUUUCGGCUCAGGACGAAACUGUGUCUUCAAAAGAUACUCAAAAUGGUCUGAUUCAAAGAGAGUCCUCUACUCACGACGAAAGUGUCUGUUACAAAGAUGUUGAAAAUGCUCCCAUAACAGAAGAGAGUCAAACUGAGACGAAAAUGGAGGAGAUAAGUGUUGAAGAAUUAAUUGGAAAGGAACAAGUGACAACACAUGUCAGUGAUGGAGGUCUUCCUCAAGAAAAUAUAUCUGCCGAAAACAAAUUGUCUAAAAAGGAAGAUGAUCAUAGUUACUUAAAGCAGGUAUCAAAUACACUUCCUGCUUCAGAUUCUCUGAAGAAUGAAAUCUCCAACGGAAAUGUUACUUUAACGAAAGUGUCAGAAAAGGAUAUCGAUGAUAUUAAUUUAGAAUCCUCUCAAAAAUUGGAAUGCAAUUUAAAUCAGGUCGAAGAAGCAGAAGAAGAAAGAGGUUCUGAUGAAGUCGCAACAUCUGAACAUUUUCAGAGUGACAUAAGGUAUCCAAAAGGCGACAAUGAACGGAUCGGUGUUCAAACGCAAAAGCAAGUUGUUAAAUCUUAUAAACAUAGACGUCAAAAUACUGUAAGCCCCACGAAAGAAAGUUUAGGCGAUUUAAAUCAAGACUCGAAACCAGAAGAGCUGAAGUUGGAAGCUCAGAUUGAAACGGCUCAUGAAUCUGUCGUUGUUGGUGGUAAAGUAAUGUCAAAGAGUGACAAAUUUCAGACCAAAGAAAGUGAAGAACGUGAACAUGAAGUAAGACCUAGUCAUACUGGUCUCGACAUAACUCAUGAUGGUUACGCGAUGCAGCUAGUAGAAGCCGCAAAACAAGAGAUGCGAAAUAUAUUCGGAACUACGGAAUCAGAAAUACAGAAAAUGUUAGAGGAAGAGAACGAUCGAGGCAUCGUAAUUUCGACUGACGAUCACCAAGCUCUGGAAUGUCGAACUACUGUUUAUGCCGAGGCAUCGGAAACUGCAAAUCAGCAGCCACAUGAAGAAAACCCACAGUUUAUCGUUUCAAAUGCAAAUCAUGCGUCAGACAGUGACUCCAUGUCUGAAGCUGAAACUAAAUUCGAGACUGACAGCGAUGAUAUACAACCUGAACCUGAUAUAACUGUGUUACUGUCGGAGCUGGAAGACAAAGAUGGCCAGAAUGUGAACGGAGCUCAACCUGAUGUUUCUCAAACUAAUUUUGAGAACAGUAAAGCUCGUUCCAUUUCUGAUGAAAUUACUCAGAAAUAUGGGCAGACACCAGACAUUCCAGGUGAAAAAGCAUCGGCUGAAAAUGUGGAACACCAUUUGACUAAAGAAUGUAAUAUAGAUACAGAUACCAAAAGGAAGGUAAAGAUUCCAGGUGAUAGGACAUAUGUUGAAGACGAAACCCGAGAAUCAGCCAAUAAUCAGUUGGAAUUAAGAGAAGAGCCCAUAGAUUACGAAACUGUUACUAAAAAUUUAGUGACUGGAAUGGGAAUAGGCAAAGAAUCGUUAGUUCGUGACACGGUAGAGGAAAUUUCAGCUGAAGUGCCUAAUGUACCUGUCGAGCAUAAAGCAAAUGGAAAGAAACGGUUUAGUGUGACAAGCCAGGCAUCAAAAAGGCAAGCCAGCACAGAAAUGGCGGACGAGUCAAACCUACCCUCUGACCAGUAUAAUGACACGAAACCUCAUGAUACUGGACAUGCACAAGAAAUGUUUGAAGUGAACGAAAUAAACAGAUCUAUUUCUGUUCAAACGGUAGACAACAUACCAUAUACGAAUGACCUACUAGAUACGAGGAAGCAUAUUAAAGAGGACGUAAAUGUAUCUCAGAAAGAUAUAUCUAUACAAACCGAAACUUCUCCUGAACCAAAGCAAUAUAAAAUGGUAGAAAAGAAAGAACUGGAAAAAAUUAAGGAAAUUCAAAAGAAAGAACUAGAAGAAACUAAAGAAACGGAAAAUGUUGAAACAGAAGGAAAUAAAGAAAUGCAAAAAGAACUGGAAGAAAAGAAGAGAACAGGAAAUGAAGAGCUAGAAGAAGAUAAGAAACUAGAAAAAGCUUUUGAGGUAUCGAUGGGAGAAGAAUGCAAGGCAUCUGAAAUGCAAAAUUCUCAUGUCAGGGAGAUGGAGAACAAAAUCCAUCUAAGCCCAAAUAAAAGAUCACCAGAAAGACAAAAUCCUAGCGCUGUUUUCUACAGCGUUCCAACCGAAGACUCAAAUAGGCAAAAACAAAAAACUGCACCUGAUAAACAAAAUCCAGGUUCUGUGUUUUAUACCGCUCCUCUCGUUCCUGGAUCCGAAGAAUCCCAAGCAAUGGAUAACAGCAAAAUUUUCCACGCUAGUUCUCGAAAUCGAAGGUAUAAGCAUUCGAUAGAAAGAGGAGGAAAGACGUUACGCUCUACUGCACGUGACAGAUCUCUGGAGUCGGAGAAAGCGGUUGCCAUUGCAAAUUCAGCGUAUCGGAAACUUACCGCUAAUGGGGAGCUGACUGUCUUCAACAGCAGUCUUAAAACUGCGGCAUCGGAUACCCAGUUGCUCACAUCGACGACGCUGUUGGAAAAUUCUUCUAAGAUGCCGUAUAGACAUAGAGGGGAAUACUCUAACUUAGAAAAGCCUGGUUUCUUGUGGGUCCAUUUUGGAUCUGGAAGCAGCCCCGUUAGUAUUAAAAAGAAACCGAGUUUAACAAGUCAGAAAAUCAAGCGGGAUCAGAUAACAAAACUGUCACCAGCGCAGAAAAACGAAAACGCAGAAGCGGAACCCAAACUUGGAAAAAAAGUUUCCAAAAAUUCCGCUUUAAAGGCUCCAAAUCAGAAAACACAGGAAAGAAGCGGGACUUUCAUCAGGAAUAAACAAAAUAAAGCAAUCGACGAACAGAUUACUAAAUCUUCCACCAAGAGAUUCACGAAAGCUUCGGGUGGCAAGGACUCAAAUUUAAAGACAGAUUCCGCUUUGAACGUGAGUUCAAAAGUCCUGACUGAGAAAAAAACGAAAACUCAGCUCCCUAGACGGGAUAAACAAAAGAACGAUAAUUCUUCAAAAGCAACCUCAGGAAAAUCGAAACUUCCUUUAACCAAGCAUGAGAAUAUUAAAGGCAAGGAUGGAUCCACAACAACAAUCAAUUCUGAAGUCAAUGCUCAGAAAGAAAUAUCCAAAGGUGAUAAGAAUAAACAAAAAACUAGUUCCAAAAACGAAUCUGAACGAAUGCAUAAGCCAGAUCACCAAACCUAUGACCAAUUACAAACUAGCAGGAAACCUGACAAUGAAAGACCCACCGAUCAUGCAAAAAGCCCUCGGACAACUGCCCCUAGGACUACGAAAGAAUCAAGUGCUCGAAAAAGUUCUAAAAAAAUGACCACGGAUUCCCAGAAACAUGAACAAGAUAAAACGCAUUCAGCUGAUUCUAGGCAAAGCAAAAGCGGCAAAGCAAACGAUUCAGAUGAAAAAGGAGGAAAAGACGAUCAUAAGAAAUCUAUUCCGAGACUCACAGAAACAGCCAAAUCCUCCUCCCUUGAUGAAGGCGAUGUUCGAUUGGAGAUCGAACGGAAGGAGGACCCCGAGAUGAGCAUCAAAAUCAGCAUGACGAAGAAAAACAAAGAGAAAAACAAGGAAGCCUCCACCACUGAGGACUCGGGUUACAUCAGCACAUCCGAGUCAAUCCACAGACAUCGUAGGUCUAUAACCAUAGACUUAGGCCACACAACUGCCAAGAUCAACACUGGCAUGAAAGGAGGCACUCACUCAGCGGUGAAUUCAACCAAACUCAUCCAAACCCAAGAGCUCAAUAAGCUGGACGCAGAGAAUGCACUACCCCGCAUCGGCGAUCAGCUUCAAGCAGGCAAAGCCGAAAGUCAGGAUAGGAAUACCGAUCAAAAAUCUCCCAAGCAUUCCCAAAAAGUCUUGACCAGCAAACUUCCCAUUUUAAAUUCUCACCGACAGCGGUCAAAUUCGUUGGUGUUCUUGGAUUACAGUAGGAUGCCCACAGGUGAAGCCUUGCCAGCGGGGGAGUUGGUAACGGAAGUUAAAGAGGAAAAUGAGAAAUUACUUUACAGCCAGAGCCCCCAGAGAAGGCACAGUCUAAUUGCCAGGUUCACACCAGACAAGGAAACUCUCACUAAAAACUUUCAAAGAUUGCGCAAGGCAGUGGCCGAAACAAGAUUUCUGGUCGUCGAUCCGGUAUUCCUAUCUACAGAGCUCACUCGGACGGACAUCUCGACGCUGAGAAGCCUUCCCCGAGAAUGCCAAAACUGUCCUACAGUACACCCUCCAUUAACGAAGAAUCGGGUUCUCUCAGAGUGACGUCUCGUGAAAGGAAGAUGUCGAGCAUUCAGGAAUCAUCUUUGACACCCACAGAUUUAAGAAACAGCGAUUCGGAAAGCGUAUCAGAGAGCGCCGAAAAGCUAAAGCUGCCAACUAUCCUCCUGUCCCAACUGAAAGAGCGGCCAUUGAAAAAUGCUGACAUCGGAAGCAGUGAACUUCCGGAUAUUAAGACCUCGCUCAAAAAGGAAACGAGGCUGAGGA
rnacentral:misc_RNA from 1 species